rnacentral:rRNA from 1 species
AGAGCGAACGCUGGCGGCGUGCUUAACACAUGCAAGUCGAACGCGCAGCAUUCUGUAGCAAUACAGGGUGUGGGCGCGUGGCGAACGGGUGCGUAACACGUGGAUAACCUUCCUUCGGGUGGGGAAUAACCCAGUGAAAAUUGGGCUAAUACCGCAUAACAUCGCGAUGGCACAUGCCGUUGCGUUCAAAGGCGCAAGUCGCCAGAAGAGGGAUCCGCGGCCGAUUAGCUUGUUGGCGGGGUAACGGCCCACCAAGGCUUUGAUCGGUAGCCGGACUGAGAGGUUGGCCGGCCACACUGGAACUGAGACACGGUCCAGACUCCUACGGGAGGCAGCAGUGGGGAAUCUUGCACAAUGGACGAAAGUCUGAUGCAGCAACGCCGCGUGGGGAUGAAGCUUCUCGGAGUGUAAACCCCUUUCGACCCGGACGAAUGCCCGCAAGGGUUUGACGGUACGGGUAUAAGAAGCCCCGGCUAACUCGUGCCAGCAGCCGC